rnacentral:snRNA from 1 species
AUUGCUUCUCGGCCUUUUGGCUAAGAUCAAGUGUAGUAUCUGUUCUUAUCAGUGUAUUCAUACAAUGGAAUACCACUUAGUAGUAAAAAAAAAUAAUAAGCUAU